UUUUUUAUAUAGUCAAACAGGUCCCACUUGUCAGGUUCUGAUAAAUGGGUCCCAGCUAUUAGGCUCAUAUUCUUCGUAUUUCAAUUUGACAGUAAGAAAAUAACCAGUAGUUAAAUUGGCAAGCAGAAAACACUCAUGAUACUUCAAAUAACAAUAGCCAGAUAUAGUACAAGCUCUACAAAUAACACGUACUACAAGCUGUAACAUAUACAAUACUUUACAAGUACUACAAGUUACACGUAAUACAAGCUUAGUUGAUACAAGCUCUACAAGUAUGGGAAUCACAGUUACAAGCUCCACAAGUGUUUUCUUCUUCUACAUGUAACUCCUUCAAUAUCGAUCAAAUGCCAGACUCACUGGAGGGCCAUAGUCAGGACUGGACCUUCCACGGACGCCCUGUUACAUGAAUCAGCUGAUAAGAAUUAGAAAAACUGGAGCCAAUAUAUUAUGAACAUCCCAUUCAAAAAACGAGUAAAGGAGUAAAGGACAUUCUUUGUUUCAUCACGUUACAAAGGAGCAGCACAAACCACAAAUUUACUCGACACACACACACAUACACGCAUGCAUUCUAAAUAUACUAAAUCUAGCUAGGUUUCUUUUACCUGGUUUUUUUGACUUUUUUCUAUCAGUGAAAACUAUGCCAAUGAGAUAGGGACACGUUAUUUACUGGGGGACAUGGGCGUGUGAGCGCCGGGGUGGACUUAGUGAUUUAGGUUACUGGGGACAUGCUUUCUGCCCGCACAUGGGCUGCAUGCCGGCGUGUUUGAUUUGGUCAUAUCGUUUUUGUCCGCUUGCUGUUUUGCCUGGCCGACUGCAUGGCGCCGUGAUUCAUGGGCGGGCUGCUGCAUGUGCGUCUGCAUGCGGCCGUGGUUGAUUCAACUGCGUUUUUUUUCUUCCGUAUUUUUCUGUCGUUCAGUUGCAUGCCGUUUGAGUUUUUUGCUUCUCUGUGCGUGUCCAUCCACGUGUUGCAUGGAUAGUGGUCAUUGUAUGAUGUUGUUACAUGUCGAGUGCAUUGUGUUGAUUGGGAGCUCGCCACGUUAUUCGGUACUGUCACCAUCUGUUUAUAGAGGUUGACGUGUGUUGGGCUUCCAGGCGGUGCCGCUCUUGCCGUAUGGUCUCGAAACCAUUUUUUUCGAUCGUUCUGUAUCUUUCUGGUUAAUUCGAUUUAGGUUUCUUGUUCCUGGAGGACGCUAUAUAUAGGUGGCUCUCCCCGUUGGUUUUCUUUGCCUCGCUGGCUGCGAUUUCUAUUUUAUGCCUAUUGAUGGUUCGUCCUGCCUCUGCCCGGAGCCGGAGCGACUUGCUUCGCCCAGGCCGCCAUCCUGGUGUUCGAGCAGCCGUCAUUAAUCGGGUGUCUAAUGGCUGGAGCCGAGCUGCUGCCUGAGGUCGUCGUGCGUUAAUGAGAGAGGAUGCCGUUGGUGGCCGACUGUCCGUGUCCGAUGUUCAUUUGUUGCGUUGGGUUCGUCGUCCUGUCUGCCUUGUAGUUACUGGUUGGUUUGGUCUAUCUGCUUGCUUCUCUNNNNNNNNNNNNNNNNNNNNNNNNNNNNNNNNNNNNNNNNNNNNNNNNNNNNNNNNNNNNNNNNNNNNNNNNNNNNNNNNNNNNNNNNNNNNNNNNNNNNNNNNNNNNNNNNNNNNNNNNNNNNNNNNNNNNNNNNNNNNNNNNNNNNNNNNNNNNNNNNNNNNNNNNNNNNNNNNNNNNNNNNNNNNNNNNNNNNNNNNNNNNNNNNNNNNNNNNNNNNNNNNNNNNNNNNNNNNNNNNNNNNNNNNNNNNNNNNNNNNNNNNNNNNNNNNNNNNNNNNNNNNNNNNNNNNNNNNNNNNNNNNNNNNNNNNNNNNNNNNNNNNNNNNNNNNNNNNNNNNNNNNNNNNNNNNNNNNNNNNNNNNNNNNNNNNNNNNGUGUUUGUUUUCUUGAUCUUUGUAGGGGCUGGGUCUACAUCUCUAUAAUGAUUCGUCUGCUGGUGGUUUGUACAUUCUGGUGGCCACAACCUCGGCGACCCGGGCUACAACGAAAGUGGCUGUGGCGGGGAUGGACGAUGCUCCUGCUGCACGCGGAGCUCUGGUGGAGGUGGCUCAUGCAUCUGGUGCGCCUGCAGGGGCGGUGGUAUUGAACUCUUGAUGGUGCGCAUGGCAUACUUCGUGAGGCAAAGCAGCCUGGGGGCGCGAGGUGGCCCGCUCGAUGGUGCCUGCGUGCAGGUUUCCCGGGAUCCGUCUUGGGUGCUGGAGCUAUCACGCCGCCGCCACUCCAGUUGCUGUCUCCGGCCGCUGCGUAGCUCCGCUGCUCGCAAGUUGUGCAGAGACAACCGUUGUCUAGCCCCGUUUACUUGUCGGAGCCGAUCCGGUUCUUAGAGAGAGAGAAGAGGUAGCGGUAUGGGGCUCAUGAUGCCAAGGUCCACGGUCCAGCUGCCACUGUCUACCUCUGUCUAGGUUGAGCUCGAGGGCGGGAGCUGGCGGUGCGCUAGGGAACCGGCGGAACGAGCUGGCGGUGCCGCCGUGCUCCACAACAUGGAGUAUGCCAUCGUCAUGGACUCAAACGCCCAUUGCCCGGGUGCUUUGCUGUUUGCGGCGUGGUUGGUCGCCACGAUACUCAACUUCGCGGAUUCUACGUCCGGUGUCUGCUAUCGGACUCUACGCGGGCGACUAUGAGGUGGCGGGGCAGUCGACGGGCCCUAGGCAUGCCGGCGCACGCGUUCUCGCCGACUUGGGCGAUUCAGCGGCUUCGUGUUGUGCGUGUCGCUGGACGCGGCCGUCGAUUAAGGAUCGGUGGCGGGUGCACGAGAUGGACGACCUGCUCGGGUUUGCCUACUCGAUGGAGAAUGACAAUCAUGCGCGGAUCCGUAUGACUAUCACGUCACGGGAGCUGACCAACCACGACGUCGUCACGGUAUCCAGAGCCUGUAAGAGAGCAACUCAAACUUCAAUGUCGUCACACCGCCGGCGACGAGUUGCAGGGAAAUCCAUAGCAGGUCCGCGAGCAUGCACUUCGCGCGGUGGAGCGGCUCGGCCGGCGUAGCGCGCACAAGCGUUUGUGUGGGUAGUUGCUCAUCGAUGGACGACCUUUUUUCAGAACUUUGUGAGCAUUUAAACACUGGUCACUGGGUGUGGAAGAUAGGGUAUAUUGUAUAUACGUGAUUUUUACAUGUAUAGAGCAAAUAAUACACAAAUUAAUAGAUACUGGAGGCUUUUCAAAGAAAAUAUGAUACACUUGGCAAAAAUAAAAUGAUACUCUGAGUUCACUAAGCGAUUCAUUCCUUCUAGAUUUUCUGGGCGAUCUCUUCUUUCCUCGACGAUUUUCUUAUCUACUCCAUCGGGUGGAUGGGCAGAGAGAGGGAGAGCUCCCAUGUAUGCGAGCUCUUACGUCGGGUAGGGAAUUCAGACUAUAAACGGGUACGACCAAUCAGCUGCAUGCAAACUACCUCCAUCUAUGUAUCCGAUCCAUGCAAAACCAGGAUGGUAAAUCAAUCCUAAAUUAACUUAACAGGUCAACUCUUUCCUUUGUAUAUCUUUUAUUCUUGUCAAGCCUUUCCUUGGGUCGUUCCUUAUGCGUAGAGUAAAAAAAGGAGGAAGUACAAGCUAGCUAACAAGAAAAAUAAUUUAUCACAUGGCAUAUGUAAUAAGCUAUAAAAAACCAGAAAAUAAUUUUGUCCUGGGGGUUCGGUUCGAGGUGAGUAUUGAGGAUCAGUAAUUAACUGCUUUACACGAGAAAUGUUGGGAGGUUAACAUAAAUCUAGGGAAGAAAUUGGACGCAUCGACUGGCUUAAACUGAACUUUGCAAAUCGUUCCUCUUACCGUCCCCAAUUUGUUGAAAUUGUAAAAUUACCACACAUACAUGGAUUUUACAAGAAAUAUGUGAGGCAUUAUACAACUUCAUAUACCCACGACACCCAUAUCCGAUGAUCCGAUAGUACCAUGCACCAGGCUUAAACCACCUCAGGAUCACCUUCAAGAAUUGUAUUUUUCUAAAUGUACCAUCUACUGCCUUAACUUUACAAUAAAAUAAUGGACUAAAUUCAUACUUUUUGUAAACCUAGAUAUAUGACUAUUAGCUAAAAACAUAAACUAUAAAACAUCCAUACACAUCAAUAAACAUAUCAUUCACACAUUUACACUAUUAUAUAACCAGAUGAUCCUUAAGACUGUAUUUAUUUAUAGACAAACAAACACAACCCGAUGACAAAGUUAAGAUAUCAUUUCAAAUUAAUUCCAAUCAGCUUUUGCGAUAGCAUAUCCAUAUGCCUUUCUGUCAUCCCAUUUCGUAGUUCAACACCAUAUCGUAUAUUUUGCAUCAAGGAAAAGCAUUAUUUUCCCAAUCUACACCCUUCAUUUCAAAUUAGCCAUCUUCCCAAGUGAACAUAUGAUUCUCUCUACAACUUCCUCUGUGUAUUCACGUCAAAUAUAACUCAUUGGUCCGAUCAACUAUAUCUUCUAUCAAAUCAAACAUGUUAUCACUCGAUAUGAGUACGUUCACACUAAAAAUGUACUUUCACAAUACAAAUGUAACAACUCAUACUAUAUUUCCCCUCACCAAGACGUCUACUUUCGAAAGUGUGUUCUCUUUCACCUAUAGUGUUAGGAAUAUCCACAAAGAGACCUCUUCGUUCAACAUAUCCCAUAUCUGCGAUCCUCAAGACAGCACAACUAUUAAGACAAGGGAAAAUUAGUAUUUUUUAUUACAUGAGCAAAAAAUAGCACUUACACACGCAACGUAUCGAUGGGGUGCGGCGUGCCGCCGCACGGGCUAAGCUAGUAUUAAGCUAAGUUCCAGCAACUAUAUCAUGGUUUAAUAGAGCAUGUAAUGAAUGACAGUUCAAUUUCACAGCCGGCCUCAGCAUCAUCAAACCACCAUGCUUAUGAUCAUAACCUAAGCAUAUCAUCAAACAAAACCUACAUAGAUAAAGAUCACGGCACAUCAAGCCACAAGCGUUGGCAUGAGAUUCAAUGCAACAGCGAUGGGGCUACCACAACAGCAUCAAAAACCUAAGCAUACUACAGAAAAUACAUAGUUGGUGCUGGAGGGACUGGUGAAUUACCUCAGUGGCGUACUUGAUGGGUGAUGAUGGUCCUUCUCAAGGAAGUAGUUGUUGUCCACAGUUAAGAGGUUUCAUACAUUUGUCUACAACAUCCAGCAAACCAGAAAUAAGAACGAACACUUCAAUCUCAUAAGAAGUUUAAAAAAUAAUAUAGCAGGACCUAAUUAAUGUUGCAAAUUAUAUUAUGGAUGCAUACAUUGUGAUGCGAAAAAUGAUUAGAUCAUCAUAAAAUGACAUUCAACAUCUAUGUAAUAAAUUGCUAACAAACCUAUACAGAUCAUCCAUUGCUAACAAACCUAUACAUAAAGUAAUAAAUUGUACCCCCUAAUACAGACCAUGAAUUGGGCCGAACAAGCUCGUGUUAACUGGCUACCAUUCGAAUCAUAAUUGUACCAUGGCAUAGAAAAGAAUUCAGUAACCUCACUUCUACAAAUUAACCUGAUGCUGUUGUACUCCUACACCAUUAAAGCUCAUGGUCGGGAUAAACAAUACUAAUAACCCAUAGAUAGCAUGGUAUAGAAUCAAGCAAACAGUUAAUACUAGCUAUCUCAAGGAACAACAAAAAAUAAAUGUUGAGAACUAUGGUACAAUAAACAUACAAGACAUAUGUCGUCCAUGGAAUCAGUGCAUUGCUGUAGCAGAUCACCAGGUAUGGUGCCAUGCCGCAUAAUUGAUUUCCUGAACUCAGUAUGCUACACUUGUCUAUCCCACAUCAGGGCUCAUGAAUCCUCAUCAAAGUGUCAAAUUUUACCUGAAGUAGGGCAGUGGUCACAGCGAAAACCACGUACAGGUCAAUGAUCUGCACGGCACGAGAAGCACAUCAGGAAUUCGGUAGCCGUGAGUGGCAGACAAAAAAAUACUGUUAGGAAAUCUGUACACGAAUGAGGCAUAGAGCAGCAAAAUGAGAUAGAUAUUCAUGAUCUUCACAGCAUGAAUCCAAAUCCUACGGCUGAUAGUGGCCCUCUUUAUACUACAAACGACACCUGUACACAACCAUUGACACCGUUCAAGAAUCACAACAGCACACUAAGAAAAAUGAUAGGUUCGGCAAGCCUGUAACAUACUAUAUACAGCAAUAGGAGCAAAAAUCUAAUAAAUUCAUUACAGGCUUGCCAAUAAAAAUAGCAGGUUACCUACACACCAGGAAACAUAAACUUGAGAGGUUGAGAUGAAGGCCUAUCAACUACAUCAGUUUUAAACACUACAGGACCAGACAGUAGGUGAUGCUUCAAAUUUCAAAACUCAAUCAUUCAUGAUUAAUAGUAGCAAUUUAAUCUUACAAAACAUAGGGGCAUGUACAACAUGAGAGCACACUACAACCAGAACUUACAACCAGACCUUCCUCGAAUUUUAUGCACAGCCGCAGCAGAUAAGCUAUAUGAACAUAAUGAUAUAACCCAUAACUAACAAUACCAAUUUUAUGCAUCAUGAAUGAAGAAAUCAAAAUAGGAUGCUUUUCUUUACUAGUGUGUGGAGGAAAAGGAAAAGCAGCAGCACAUGCUUUUCCUAUUUGCUUUGCUUUCCUAUUAGCAUCUCCGAUCAAUCAAAAAGGAUGCAGCAAGUGAUUACAUUAACCCCGAUUCAAAUAUUUCAAGUACUGGACAAUCAUUUCAUGCAGCCAUUCAUAAACAUACUACUACAAGGGAACUACAACUUUUUAUUUUUAAGCAUAACGUUUAAGUAUGUAAACUUUUCUCUAGAGUCCCUACACACUACACACUACUACUCAACUACUGUAUGUGUGUAGUACUAUGUCAGUAAGCAGCAGAGGAGAUUUAAAAGGAAGGACCAUGUGUGUGUAUGUAGAAAACACACACAAGAAACACUGAAUAUGAUCUAUUUAGUCGGACAGGUUCAGUUACGGACAACUCUGGGAAACAUGUACUACUAUAUGCUUCUCUGCCACAAGUGCCGAGAUUAUCUGUGGGAUUUUGGUGAACACCUUUUUAACUAGGCAGACAUUGUAUUUUUUAUAGUACAAAAUCCUAUCUUCUUUACAAUACAUGUAGCCAUCGUCCGUUGCUCUGUAGCUGUUGUGGAGUUGCCAGCACGAAAUAGAGCAAACAUAUAUUCGCAUUUCAGAGGGCCGACCAAUGUUUAUAUCAGGGGUGAAACAAUACCAAAAGUAGACAUGGAAUAUGGUCCAGUCGAUCAACCAUACUUUUAAAAGCUUACUUAUUAUACAUUACUACCGGGCAGUCCUUGGGAUUUCAAACAAGCAGAAACUCCAUCGACAAUUAACUACAAGAUCUAAUAGCAGAACCUACCUUUGCAUAACCAAAAGUACAUGUAUUAAUUCAAGCUAACAACUAAAAAGAAACAGAGACUUGAUGGCAGCAGGAUCAUCUUCCACUUGAGAAGCUGGCUGGAGUAGAAAAGGAUGAUUAGACGUGAAUAUGGAUAUAAGUGCACAUCAACUGCUUUUGCAUAAGCACACCAUAUAUAUACAUUGAUGUUUCGAGGUCGGUCUUGCCGUGGACUCACAAUCCACAUCCAACAGCCCACCAUCUCGUAUAUACAUCCAAAUCAUAAAAAUGGCGGUCAAACAACAAGGUAGUGCAAAGAAAUUAUGUAAGCUAUUGUGCUGGAUCACUAUCAUUCACGCAAUAACUAUCAAACACAUGCAUCAAUAGUUAAAUACUUCUGACAGACUAUCAAAGGUCAAACAUACUUGUUGGGAGUUUUCUUUUUCAGCAUGAGACACAAUAAUCUUAAGUAGCAACAAUGAAAAGAACUUCCUAACUACGGGUCCUCUUAUCGCCAACCAAGAACAUUAGGUGAUGAAAAACAAUGUAUUUUCAAAGCUAUACUUUAGCAAACCACCACUUCUCUACUAACAUGUGAGUGAAAUUACUACAUUAUUGUUCCAUAGAGUUUAUGUGUACAUUGGCCAUUAAUUGAUGAGGACUGAUGCAAUGGAUGCUGCCUUGGCAACUGAUGCGACCCAGUGAUAUAUAAAUUCUGAGGUCUUUGAUGUUUCGCCUGAAGCCGGUAAUGUUCAAAAAUACACUGCAUGUACACCUGAUUACAUACGGCCAAGUCACGAAGAUGAACAUGCACUAGUAAAUGGUAUGGUCAUGCAAACUGAUGUGUUGGAGACCACGUGCAUAGAUGAGGAAAAGAAGGGCGUUCAGUUUGAGAUUAAAUGCCACCGUAUCAGACGUGCAUGUGGAGGAAACCAAGGAAAAGAGCAUCCUAAUUAUUUUGGUAAGCCACGAUUAGAAGAUGGCAUGAAGGAGUCCACGAGCCAUCGUGAAUGUUUCCUUGGCAGAAUUAUCUACUAUGCCAGAAUUAAAAUAAGAAGAUUAUUUACGUUUAUUUUUCUAUCCCGCAAGGAAAAGAUAAACAUGAGGAUUCUUUUUAUUUGCGAAUUAUUCAGCUUAAAGGACGUCGGCUGGGGUCCACCACAGACAGGGAAAAAGCCACAUCAGAACUAGCAGUUUUUGUUUUCUUAGAUAGAUCAAGUCGGUUUAGCAUAUACGUAGGAGUUAUCUUUUCUUUUAAAUAUGUAGCAAAUGCUUGCUUUCCAAGCUACUUAUGGUGUGCGUGCGUGAGGUCUUUGGACCAAGUCAGGGUGCGGCUAUUAUAAGUAGCCAUACUACAGUCCAUGUAAAGGGAGGUUAUUUUUUAUGAAAUAAACAUGAUGUGUUUUUCAGGGUAGACACCCGUAUCAAGUUUUGGAGGGAUCUUUAGAAAACCUCUGUGUUGCGAUUUCUCUUCGUGGAAAUUGUUUUGCGCGUGAGUACCUUCGUCGAGAUUGGUUUUCUCGUGCUGGGCCGCAAGGUUCAAACCCUCUACUUCGUGUACAUCGCGUGCGCGGGCGAAAGGUUGCUACUGCUGGUGGUGGAGUGUCGUGAAAGGUCGGGCCGCAACAACGGAUCGGAUCUCGCCAACGAGGUCCGGUUUUCAUCAGGUGGUAUUCAGAGCAAGGUUGUUCACGACACUGUGCAAGAGAUGACUGGAUUAUCAUGGAAGCUAAGCUAUGGAUUUCAAUUGGAAGAGGAAGGUCGAUGGGAUGGACUUUUUCAUACUUGUGUUGUGGUACAAGAGAGAUCAUGCGCCAUGACAAUCGACCACAUGAGUUUGAUCAACGCUGCAAGCAUCGAGAUGGUGGAGAAGCUAGAUCUACCAAUGACACCACGAGCACAACCAUACUUGUUUCGUUGGGGUCAUGAAGAGCUCAGUGUCACACACCAAACAAAGGUACCGUUUUUGUUGGGAAAUUUUCUUUGCACGGUUUUGUGUGACGUAAUUCCGGUACCGAUGGUUUCAUGUCACUUAUUGUUGGGCAAGCCAUGGUACAAAGAGCACGAUGUUGCUUAUGAUUGUCAAACACACGUAUAUACCGUCAAGAAGGAUAAGAAGUACGACCUUGUGCCCAUGGGUCAGAAUCAUUUUAUUGCUUGGAGAAGAGAACAUCAGAAGAAGAUAAAAGAAGAGGAAGAUGCAAAAAAGAAUAUGGUCGAAGCUACUGAAAUGAUCACCAUUCAAUCCGUACAUGAAAAUAUUGUUAUAAAGAUUGAGUCGAAACCGAGGACGGUUUCCGUUCAAGGGGGAGAGGAUGAUGCGACCCAGUGUAAUAUAAAUUCUGAGGUCUUUGAUGUUUCGCCUGAAGCCGGUAAUGUUCAAAAAUACACUGCAUGUACACCUGAUUACAUACGGCCAAGUCACGAAGAUGAACAUGCACUAGUAAAUGGUAUGGUCAUGCAAACUGAUGUGUUGGAGACCACGUGCAUAGAUGAGGAAAAGAAGGGCGUUCAGUUUGAGAUUAAAUGCCACCGUAUCAGACGUGCAUGUGGAGGAAACCAAGGAAAAGAGCAUCCUAAUUAUUUUGGUAAGCCACGAUUAGAAGAUGGCAUGAAGGAGUCCACGAGCCAUCGUGAAUGUUUCCUUGGCAGAAUUAUCUACUACGCCAGAAUUAAAACAAGAAGAUUAUUUACGUUUAUUUUUCUAUCCCGCAAGGAAAAGAUAAACAUGAGGAUUCUUUUUAUUUGGGAAUUAUUCAGUUUAAAGGACGUCGGCUGGGGUCCACCACAGACAGGGAAAAAGCCACAUCAGAACUAGCAGUUUUUGUUUUCUUAGAUAGAUCAAGUCGGUUUAGCAUAUACGUAGGAGUUAUCUUUUCUUUUAAAUAUGUAGCAAAUGCUUGCUUUCCAAGCUACUUAUGGUGUGCGUGCGUGAGGUCUUUGGACCAAGUCAGGGUGCGGCUAUUAUAAGUAGCCAUACUACAGUCCAUGUAAAGGGAGGUUAUUUUUUAUGAAAUAAACAUGAUGUGUUUUUCAGGGUAUUCACCCGUAUCAAGUUUUGGAGGGAUCUUUAGAAAACCUCUGUGUUGCGAUUUCUUUUCGUGGAAAUUGUUUUGCGCGUGAGUACCUUCGUCGAGAUUGGUUUUCUCGUGCUGGGCCGCAAGGUUCAAACCCUCUACUUCGUGUACAUCGCGUGCGCGGGCGAGAGGUUGCUACUGCUGGUGGUGGAGUGUCGUGAAAGGUCGGGCCGCAACAACGGAUCGGAUCUCGCCAACGAGGUCCGGUUUUCAUCAGCAACCAUAGUAGUUUAGGCACAACAGUGUAAACCCACACAAAUACUAGUAAUUCCAUCAUAUUAAGGACCGUUUUAUCAGGUUCAUGUGUAUGGCCUCACAAAAUUUGUAUACUAAUCACUACUGGAGUUCCCAACUCAAUUGAGUUCAAGAAUAGGCAGCGAGCAUAGCCAACGAGUUGCCGCCAUGGGCAACGCUCUGAAGCGGGCUCGCCUGGCCGCUCGGACAAUAUCCUCGAUCUGCUAGGGCAAGAACAAGAGUAAGUUUUGGUCACGUUAAUAAGAUGAUGAUAUAAAAAAAUGAUCAGCGGAUGGUCAAAUGUACACAUGACAGCAUGUUUUAUUGCUUCCUUCUAAUUGCUCACACCAAUAGCAUCAAAACAUUUUUCCGGUCCUAUGUUUGCAGUACAGAAAGCCAGAAAGAAUUUGGUGGCUUCCCUUUUCAGUGGAGCCCCAGACCAAAUACACCCUCAUCAAUAAUGCAAGUCCAGAGAUGCAAUGCAACUUUGGACCACUAAAUGCCACCCGAGUCAUGCAAAACCCAGUUUCACACGCUAAACAUCAAGCAUUACAAACAGAGCAAAUUAAUACUGAUGCUGUGAACACCUUGACUAGAAAGGCCACCACCUAGUGUCCACAGCUAGACAACAGGGCGGAGAAUCACCAACAGGGCAGAGAAUCACUAUCGGUGCACAACACUGCAGUCUACAUCUGCAGCUGCCCAUUCACUAGAACCACACAGACCACUAGCUGUGCUAUUCGAUAAUAGUUGAUAUUAUUUUUUAAUAAUCAUAACAAAAAUUACAUCUAAUAUCAGCGAGGUGUUUAGUUGGAUGCAGAUCAUAAUAUCACAACACAUUAAAAUUGACUAUGUAAAGCAUGAUAAUGGCCUAACUAGAUCUGAGAUUUCACACUAGUGGCAACUAAACUAGUACAGAAGUGCACCCAUGUCUCAUGAAAAGCACGAUCCUCACACUGCAAUUGCUUAUCAGAUCUAAACUACAAAACGAAAUGGCUAGACAUCACAGAUCGCAUGCUUAAAUUAGGAACUACGAAUAGUUCAUGUUCCUGACAAAUUCAGAAGGGUCGCACAGAUCGAACACUAAUUGCCGCAUUCUUGGGGGAAAACAAUUAGACCUACACGGGAAGGUAAUCCAGUAAUCCCAUCACGGUUCAAAUCGUGCAUCAAUUACAACCUAAAUAUUCCAAACCAGAGAAGAUCUGACAACUGAAAGUGUUCAUACAAUCAUUGUUUGAACCACAUACAAGUUCGACAUCGGAAGGGGCGAGAGAUGGGAUGAGAUGGGGUAUGAAGAACCUAGAUGCCGUGCUCGAGGCAGUAAAGUUCCCAGCACGCGUUGCCGAACUGGAUUACGGGAAGUCGCCAGGGUGCCGACGCCGACGAGCGUGGCCGGCAGGAUGCCGAAGAUGAAGUCGCCGAAGGAGAUGCUGCAGCUCCGAGACGCGCGUCGUGGUGCUCCUGCCACGGGCCGGGCGCGCGAGGACGCUAGGGCUCCUCCCGCUUCUCC
rnacentral:lncRNA from 1 species